rnacentral:tRNA from 1 species
UCCCUGGUGGUCCAGUGGCUAAGACUCUGCACUCCCAAUGCAGUGGGCCCAGGUUCAAACCCUGGUUAGGGAA